UACAGAGGGUGCGAGCGUUGUCCGGAAUCACUGGGCGUAAAGGGUGCGUAGGCGGGUUUUUAAGUCAGAGGUGAAAUCCUGGAGCUCAACUCCAGAACUGCCUUUGAUACUGAAAGUCUUGAGUACGAAAGAGGAUCGCGGAAUUCCCGGUGUAGAGGUGAAAUUCGUAGAUAUCGGGAGGAACACCGGGUGGCGAAGGCGGCGAUCUGGGUCGAUACUGACGCUGAGUGCGAAAGCGUGGGGAGCAAACAGGG
rnacentral:rRNA from 1 species